GAUGAACGCUGGCGGCGUGCCUAAUACAUGCAAGUCGAGCGAACGGACGAGAAGCUUGCUUUUCUGAUGUUAGCGGCGGACGGGUGAGUAACACGUGGAUAACCUACCUAUAAGACUGGGAUAACUUCGGGAAACCGGAGCUAAUACCGGAUAAUAUUUUGAACCGCAUGGUUCAAAAGUGAAAGACGGUCUUGCUGUCACUUAUAGAUGGAUCCGCGCUGCAUUAGCUAGUUGGUAAGGUAACGGCUUACCAAGGCAACGAUGCAUAGCCGACCUGAGAGGGUGAUCGGCCACACUGGAACUGAGACACGGUCCAGACUCCUACGGGAGGCAGCAGUAGGGAAUCUUCCGCAAUGGGCGAAAGCCUGACGGAGCAACGCCGCGUGAGUGAUGAAGGUCCUCGGAUCGUAAAACUCUGUUACUAGGGAAGAACAUAUGUGUAAGUAACUGUGCACAUCUUGACGGUACCUAAUCAGAAAGCCACGGCUAACUACGUG
rnacentral:rRNA from 1 species